rnacentral:rRNA from 1 species
GAUGAACGCUGGCGGCGUGCCUAACACAUGCAAGUCGAGCGGAGAAUCAGAAGUAGUAAUACGGACGGUUCUUAGCGGCGGACGGGUGAGUAACACGUGAGUAAUCUGCCUUCUGCAGGGGAAUAACAUUGUGAAAACAGUGCUAAUACCGCAUGACAUAGUUUUGGGGCAUCCCGAGACUAUCAAAGGAGAAAUCCGGCAGAAGAUGAACUCGCGUCCGAUUAGCUAGUUGGCGGGGUAAUGGCCCACCAAGGCGACGAUCGGUAGCCGAACUGAGAGGUUGAUCGGCCACAUUGGGACUGAGACACGGCCCAGACACCUACGGGUGGCUG